GCCUGUGUGGCGUAGUGGUUUGAGUGUUGGAUUAUGACUCUGCAGACCAGGGUUCAAAUCCUGGCUUAGCCA
rnacentral:tRNA from 1 species